rnacentral:Y_RNA from 1 species
GUCUGGUCCAAAGGUAGCGAGUUAUCUCAAUUGAUUGUUCACAGUCAGUUACAGAAUGAACUCCUUGUUCUACUUUCUCCCCACUUCUCACUACUGCAUCUGACUGGUAAA